UUGAAUGUUUUCUAGGGUUCCGCAGCAAAUAUGUUGGACUGGUCCGAGAGAAGACUCACGGCUUACGCUGUGGCACGGAAGGAUAAAAGCCUGGGAGAU
rnacentral:sRNA from 2 species